rnacentral:tRNA from 1 species
GACGGACUGUAAAUCCGUUGGCUACGCCUACGCUGGUUCGAAUCCAGCCCCUUCCACCA